rnacentral:rRNA from 1 species
AAUAGAUACCCCGGGUAGUCCACGCCGUAAACGAUGGUGACUAGGUGUGGCUGGCUCAAGGGCUGGUCGUGCCGAAGCUAACGCGAUAAGUCACCCGCCUGGGGAGUACGGCCGCAAGGCUAAAACUCAAAGGAAUUGACGGGGGGCCCGCACAAGCAGCGGAGCGUGUGGUUUAAUUCGAUGCAACGCGAAGAACCUUACCUGGGCUUGACAUGGCGGUGGUAGGGAGGUGAAAGCCGAACGACCCGCAAGGGAGCCGUCACAGGUGCUGCAUGGCUGUCGUCAGCUCGUGUCGUGAGAUGUUGGGUUAAGUCCCGCAACGAGCGCAACCCUUGUCGCAUGUUUCAGGUGUCAUGCGAGACUGCCCGUGCAAGCGGGAGGAAGGUGGGGAUGACGUCAAGUCAGCAUGGCCUUUAUGUUCAGGGCGACACACACGCUACAAUGGCUGGGACAAUAGGACGCCAACCCGGCGAGGGGGGUAGCCGAAUCCGACAAACCCCGAGUCUCAGUUCGGAUUGGGGGUCUGCAACUCGCCCCC